GCGAGCGUUGUCCGGAAUUAUUGGGCGUAAAGAGCUCGUAGGCGGUCUGUCACGUCGGCUGUGGAAAUCCCGAGGCUCAACCUCGGGUCUGCAGUCGAUACGGGCAAACUAGAGUAUUGGCAGGGGAGACUGGAAUUCCCGGUGUAGAGGUGAAAUUCGUAGAUAUCGGGAGGAACACCAGUGGCGAAGGCGGCUCUCUGGACAGAUACUGACGCUGAGGCGCGAAAGCGUGGGAAGCAACAGG
rnacentral:rRNA from 1 species